CCUACGGGAGGCAGCAGUGGGGAAUAUUGGUCAAUGGACGCAAGUCUGAACCAGCCAUGCCGCGUGCAGGAAGACGGCUCUAUGAUUUUUAAACUGCUUUUGUACGAGGGUAAACGCAGAUAUGUGUAUCUGUCUGAAAGUAUCGUACGAAUAAGGAGCGGCUAACGCCGUGCCAGCAGCCGCGGUAAUACGGAGGAUUCAAGCGUUAUCCGGAUGUAUUGGGUUUAAGGGGUGCGUAGGCGGUAGGAUAAGUUAGAGGUGAAAUCCCGAGGCUCAACUUCGGAAUUGCCUCUGAUACUGUUCGGCUAGAGAGUAGUUGAGGUAGGCGGAAUGUAUGGUGUAGCGGUGAAAUGCUUAGAGAUCAUAAAGAACACCGAUUGCGAAGGCAGCUUACCAGGCUACUUCUGACGUUGAGGCACGAAAGCGUGGGGAGCAAACAGGAUUAGAUACCCUGGUAGUC
rnacentral:rRNA from 1 species